rnacentral:tRNA from 1 species
GGCUCGGUAGGCUCAGUUGGUAGAGCAACGGACUGAAAAUCCGUGUGUCGGCGGUUCGAUUCCGUCCCGAGCCACCA